GAUCAUGGCUCAGGAUGAACGCUGGCGGCGUGCUUAACACAUGCAAGUCGAACGGGAAUUACUUUAUUGAAACUUCGGUCGAUUUAAUUUAAUUCUAGUGGCGGACGGGUGAGUAACGCGUGGGUAACCUGCCUUAUACAGGGGGAUAACAGUCAGAAAUGGCUGCUAAUACCGCAUAAGCGCACAGAGCUGCAUGGCUCAGUGUGAAAAACUCCGUGUUGUAUAAGAGUCCGGACCCCGUCGGUUAGG
rnacentral:rRNA from 1 species